rnacentral:rRNA from 1 species
UACAGAGACUGCAAGCGUUAUUCGGAUUCACUGGGCGUAAAGGGUGCGCAGGCGGCCGAGUGUGUGAGGCGUGAAAGCCCGGGGCUUAACCCCGGAAGUGCGCUGGAAACUAGCCAGCUAGAGCGCGAGAGAGGAGGGUGGAAUUCCUGGUGUAGCGGUGAAAUGCGUAGAUAUCAGGAGGAACACCGGCGGCGAAGGCGGCCCUCUGGCUCGUUGCUGACGCUGAAACGCGAAAGCGUGGGGAGCAAACAGG